UCUCAAAAAUGAAUAAAUGUUAAAAAAAAUUUUAAUAAAAAUGAGAAUAGAAUUGAGAACAGGGCCAAAAAGUGGAUAAUAUGAUAGUUAUUUAAUUCAGUAAAUAUUCAGAGAACAAGGACAGAGAACAAUGACAAAAAGUACCAUUUUAUCGAUGAAAUUGAUAGUGAAGUUGGAAAAGGAAAACUUCAUAAAAUUUUUUUAUAUUGGGAAAAGAGUGGGGCUAAGAUCUUAUUUUUAAGUUAUCUCUGUACCCAAUGUGGGGCUCAGACGUACAGUGUACGCUCUACUGACUGAACCAGCCAGGUGCCCCCAUUUUUAAAUUUUUUGAUAUUGCUCUCAUUUAUUCAACAAAUAUUUGAGUACCUACUUUAUGUCACACAUUAUUCUAAGUACCAGGACUAAAAGCAGUGGCACAAAAUAGUUGCCAUCUCAACUUUCCUACAGCUCACAUUCAUUUUAUCUUACAUUUUGCAUUAAUCAAAAGCAUAUGUGAAAAGGUAACAUGUAUCUACCCUAUGAUCUGACAGUUCCAUUGCUAAGUGUGUAUCAAGGAGAAAU